CUCGGUGCUCGUCAUUCUAACACUUCAGUCCGAUCCGUUAAUUAAUUGAUCAGUUUGUAUUUUGGUAUUAUAAUGUUUCAAAAUUUGAGUCGUUCUUUUUCCUCUCUCGUUGUGGUUAGAAGAAGGAUUUUGAAUUUUUCUAUAGAAGCUGUAAAUACUAAUCCGCACUAUUUUUCACUUCUCUGUACCCUAAAACUUUUUCUUAACUGAGAAGCAGCUAACUUGUAAAAGUGGUGAAUGUAGAAAAAUGCUCCUUGGUUAUCAGUGCCACAGUUUGGUGACUAGGAUCAAAAGGGUGGAGUGCCUGACUACUCACUAGAUUUCUCGAAAAUCAGGGAAAUGAGGAAACAAAACAAGACAAAUCUUUCAAGGGCAAGUCUUGGAAACGAAGAAGAGCUCGUGGCUUCAACCACUACCACUACAAACGCAAGCCACACUGAGCCUGAGCCUGUACACCAGCAUCCCCAUUAUCACCAGACAAACUCUCCAACGGCAAGGAGGAGCUUCCUCAGCUACUUCAACUGAUGUGUAAAAGCAUGAUAUU